ACAACAUCCCCAAAGGAGUGGACCGCAUCAGCAGCAACCGAGAAGCAAGUUGGAGCUCGUGUUUGGUCCGCAAGCCACGCCCACCCCCCACAGCCACAGAAGAGGAAAACUGUCCUUUCCCGGGCAUGAUAAAGUCUUAAAUAAUGUCAAACACGUAGCGUUACAAUAACCAGGAAGAUAAAGUGUUUGUCUCACACCUACUAAUCAAGCAUUCACAUUUUGCCACAACACACAUGGGGGAAAGUCCUAAUUGGAAAUACAGCCAUAUUAACUCCUAAACUGCCAUUUUAACACACACCAAACCAUCA